CCCAGGUGUCCGAGCCCAGGGUGCUAAGAGGGUGGUCCCGCACACUGGACGAGUGCCCUGAGGCUCAUGACAAAGGACCGCAAACCUGCCCCUGGCAACAACAGAAAUAUCUUCGUUUGCAGCUCUGCAGCUGGAGGGGGUCUGCCUGGCCCAGGGGAGUGGCCUCAGGGACCUGGUCUGGGCUGUGGCCCAGGAGACAGAGCGGUUCUCCGCAAUCAUCAGGCCUGCGGACCCGAGAACAUCCAAAGCCACGUCUAACCCCCCCUGCUGCAGUGGCCUCUGGUGAUCACACUCUUCAUAAGCACCGGCUCGUGCCGUGACCUGCAAACACAGGCCACCUAAGUCCCUCGGUCCGUGGGGGCCACCACCAUAUUGGUCUGGGUGGGCCGGGCUUGCCGCCGGAGCAGAGACUUUAGUCAUUGGAUUGAGGCCGCCGCUAAUCUAGGAUGGUGUCACUUUGAGGUUCUUUAAUCACAUCUGCAAAGACCUCUUUUUGAACACGGUCACAUUCACGACCCACAUCUGGGAUCAGGAUGGGGACAUAUUUUUUGGAGAGAUGCUAUUCCACCCAGUACAGGGGCGCUGGUGACACUCAGCCAGGCUCUCGGGGGAGGCCCGGCCCCUCGGCCCCCUGUGUCAUACACUCUGGCUAACGGUCGCAACGGGGAUCUGACCACCCUGCCCCUCAGAGGACGGACGGAGCCAGGAGGCCAGCAGCCGGUGGCGGAUCUUUCCUCCCUGCUGGCUCUGUGCCCUGCACAGACGCAUCUUGCAGGCCCGGCCCCUCGGCAGUCCCUCUCUGCCACGAGUCAGCAGCGGGGAGCAAGGUGGCGGCGACUGAUAACCCCUCAGAACCUCGGCUUCCUCGUCUGCGGAGGGGAGAUAAUCACGUCUCCCCCACAUCCAUGGAGGCAGCCGAGGGGAAGGAGGCUCGGAGUGCCCGUCCCUCACCUGUGACGGGCCCGGCCCCCCCCCCCCACACACACCCGCGGUCCCUCAGGGGCUGGAGUUAAGGCUUGCUGAGACCGAUUCCUCCCUGGGGCUCUGCUGGGAGCUCGAGACCGGGGCGAGGGGUGUGCACCUGCACGUCCAGGGCCCUGGACCUGGAGGGAGUGGCCCUGUGGGAGGGACCUGGGGGGGAGGGGCACCGGGGAGAAGACGGGCC